UACGUAGGGUGCGAGCGUUGUCCGGAAUUAUUGGGCGUAAAGAGCUCGUAGGCGGUUUGUCGCGUCGGCUGUGAAAACCCGGGGCUCAACCCCGGGCCUGCAGUCGAUACGGGCAAACUAGAGUGUGGUAGGGGAGACUGGAAUUCCUGGUGUAGCGGUGAAAUGCGCAGAUAUCAGGAGGAACACCGGUGGCGAAGGCGGGUCUCUGGGCCAUAACUGACGCUGAGGAGCGAAAGCGUGGGGAGCGAACAGG
rnacentral:rRNA from 1 species